AGUAGAAUCACUGUUAUUGAUCCGUCUGUAGUUCUAUCAGUACAAUCACUGUUAUUGAUCCGUCUGUAGUUCUAUCAGUACAAUCACUGUUAUUGAUCCGUCUGUGGUUCUAUCAGUAGAAUCAGUUUUAUUGAUCCGUCUGUGGUUCUAUCAGUAGAAUCACUGUUAUUGAUCCGUCUGUAGUUCUAUCAGUACAAUCACUGUUAUUGAUCCGUCUGUAGUUCUAUCAGUACAAUCACUGUUAUUGAUCAGUAGAAUAAGUUUUAGUUUUAGUUUGAGCCUUGAGGAGUCCUUGAGAAGGUUCCUACGGUGUUUGAGGAGGUUUGGAAACCCUUAAGGAGGUUCCAGGGGUCCUUGACAAGUUUCUAAGGGACCUUGAGGAAGCUCCAGGAGUGACGAAGGAGGCUAUAAGGGUCCUUGAGGAGUUUUGAGUGGUCUCUGAAGAAACUCUUGAGGUCCUUGAGGGAGGCUCAGGGGUCCUUUUAAAGGCAACUGAGAAGGUUUUGAUGGUCUGCAAAGGUGCACGAGAGGUCCUUGAGCAGGUUUGAGAGGUCCUUGAGUGGGUAUGAGAAGAGGUUCUCGAGGAGGUCCUGGUGCAGGUCCUUGAGCAGGUCCUGGAGCAGGUCCUGGAGCAGGUUUGAGAGGUCCUUGAGUGGGUAUGAGAAGAGGUUCUCAAGGAGGUCCUUGAGCAGGUCCUGGAGGUCCUCUCUCUCUCUCUCUCUCUCUCUCUCUCUCUCUGUCUCUCUCUCUCUCUCUCUCUCUCUCUCUCUCUCUCUCUCUCUCUCUCUCUCUCUCUCUCUCAAUGUGAUGCAUCCCUCUUCCUUUUCUGCUCCGCCGUCACCAUGGCAACCAUGAGAAUGGGGGGGAGCAGAAGGAGGGGGUUACCAUGGCAACAACAUUAGCCUGAAUGUGUGUUUGCUGAAAAUCAUUCUGUCUCUACCUGUCUGUCUCUACCU